GGGGAGGUAGCUCAGUGGUAAAGCAUCACCCCUGGACCCCUGGGUUUAAUCUUAGUUCUAAAAAAUAAUUACCCAGAGCUAUUCACUUGCAGCAAUAAAAAAAUGUACUAAGGGGGUGUCCUCUCAAUUUAUGACUUAGAGAGCUUAAGUAAAUGAUUUAUACAAUGAGUAAGUGGUGAAGUCAGGAUUCAAAUCCAUGUCUGUUGG
rnacentral:tRNA from 1 species